GCCAGGCCUGGUGGUGUGGGCCUGUAGUCCCAACUACUCAGGAGGCUGAGUAGGGAGGAUUGCUUGAGCCCAGGAGGCAGAGGUUGCAGUGAGCCGAGAUCAAGCCACUGCAUUCCAGCCUGGGCAACAGAGCAAGACCCUGUCUCAA
rfam:Gorilla gorilla gorilla genomic chromosome, chr5, whole genome shotgun sequence